GAUGAAGAACGUAGCAAAAUGCGAUAAGUAAUGUGAAUUGCAGAAUUCAGUGAAUCAUCGAAUCUUUGAACGCACAUUGCGCCCGCUGGUAUUCCGGCGGGCAUGCCUGUUCGAGCGUCAUUUCAACCCUCAAGCCCCCGGGUUGGGUGUUGGGGAUCGGCUCUGCCCUUCUGGGCGGUGCCGCCCCCGAAAUACAUUGGCGGUCUCGCUGCAGCCUCCAUUGCGUAGUAGCUAACACCUCGCAACUGGAACGCGGCGCGGCCAUGCCGUAAAACCCCAACUUCUGAAUGUUGACCUCGGAUCAGGUAGGAAUACCCGCUGAACUUAAGCAUAUCAAUAAGCGGAGGA
rnacentral:misc_RNA from 1 species